rnacentral:rRNA from 1 species
GAUGAACGCUGGCGGCGUGCCUAAUACAUGCAAGUCGAGCGAACGGACGAGAAGCUUGCUCCUCUGAUGUUAGCGGCGGACGGGUGAGUAACACGUGGAUAACCUACCUAUAAGACUGGGAUAACUUCGGGAAACCGGAGCUAAUACCGGAUAAUAUUUUGAACCGCAUGGUUCAAAAGUGAAAGACGGUCUUGCUGUCACUUAUAGAUGGAUCCGCGCUGCAUUAGCUAGUUGGUAAGGUAACGGCUUACCAAGGCAACGAUGCAUAGCCGACCUGAGAGGGUGAUCGGCCACACUGGAACUGAGACACGGUCCAGACUCCUACGGGAGGCAGCAGUAGGGAAUCUUCCGCAAUGGGCGAAAGCCUGACGGAGCAACGCCGCGUGAGUGAUGAAGGUCUUCGGAUCGUAAAACUCUGUUAUUAGGGAAGAACAUAUGUGUAAGUAACUGUGCACAUCUUGACGGUACCUAAUCAGAAAGCCACGGCUAACUACGU